AUCAUUGCAUUGUGUCAGCAAAGCAUAACCCAAGCCAAUGUCAAGAACUGAGGGACGUAACAUUGUCCAAGUCUCCAUUGCAAGCUGGAUAUGCAUCUGGCAUGUUGGAGUAUUCAUAAGAUCUAUCUCCUCUUUCUCUAGGCAAGGGCCACUUUGAAAGUAUUGGCUCGUAGACCAUUAUAAAACUAGGCAGCAAGCACAGGUCGUCAGCAUAGAGAGAAGAACAUUUCAAAAAUGUCUCCACAUCUUACAUUCAUCCAGUGCCGCUGCAUUAGCUACUGGUGCUGAAAAAGUUUUUACCACUAAUUAUUUAUCAGUAUUGAUUUGUAGAUAUUCUGGUACAACCAAUGCAUUUUAAGGAGUAAUUUUCUUGCUUCAUUCUAACCCAUAUAUGGCUCCUGUAUUGUGCAUUCUAUUCAUCUUUACAUUCUAUUCAAUUA